rnacentral:rRNA from 1 species
AAGGGUGCGUAACACGUGGGGAAUCUGCCGAGAAGUGAGGGAUAGCUCGUCGAAAGGCGAAUUAAUACCGCAUGUGGUUAGGGAAGACAUCUUUCCGACACCAAAGCCGGGGCAACCUGGCGCUUCUUGAUGACCCCGCGGCCUAUCAGCUAGUUGGUGAGGUAACGGCUCACCAAGGCUAUGACGGGUAGCUGGUCUGAGAGGACGACCAGCCACACUGGAACUGAGACACGGUCCAGACACCUACGGGUGGCAGCAGUCGAGAAUUUUUCUCAAUGGGGGAAACCCUGAAGGAGCGACGCCGCGUGGAGGAUGAAGGUCUUCGGAUUGUAAACUCCUGUCAUUAGGGAACAAUUGCCAGUAAGUAACUAUUAUUGGCUUGAUAGUACCUGAAGAGGAAGAGACGGCUAACUCUGUGCCAGCAGCCGCGGUAAUACAGAGGUCUCAAGCGUUGUUCGGAUUCAUUGGGCGUAAAGGGUGCGUAGGUGGCGCCAUAAGUCAGGUGUGAAAUCUCGGGGCUCAACCCCGAAACUGCACUUGAUACUGUGGUGCUCGAGUACUGGAGAGGAGAUUGGAAUU